AUUAAAACCUACAUAGUCUAUCUUUGCAUGACCUUGCAGAUGUGACGGGAACCAAACAGGUUUGCUAAAGUAACUACGAUAGAACUGUAUUAGCCUCAGGGGCUACUGGGUGGUCCAUUCUAUCAUAGCACAGUG